rnacentral:rRNA from 1 species
GGUACAGGAAACAGCUUGCUGCUUCGCUGACGAGUGGCGGACGGGUGAGUAAUGUCUGGGAAACUGCCUGAUGGAGGGGGAUAACUACUGGAAACGGUAGCUAAUACCGCAUAACGUCGCAAGACCAAAGAGGGGGACCUUCGGGCCUCUUGCCAUCGGAUGUGCCCAGAUGGGAUUAGCUAGUAGGUGGGGUAACGGCUCACCUAGGCGACGAUCCCUAGCUGGUCUGAGAGGAUGACCAGCCACACUGGAACUGAGACACGGUCCAGACUCCUACGGGAGGCAGCAGUGGGGAAUAUUGCACAAUGGGCGCAAGCCUGAUGCAGCCAUGCCGCGUGUAUGAAGAAGGCCUUCGGGUUGUAAAGUACUUUCAGCGGGGAGGAAGGGAGUAAAGUUAAUACCUUUGCUCAUUGACGUUACCCGCAGAAGAAGCACCGGCUAACUCCGUGCCAGCAGCCGCGGUAAUACGGAGGGUGCAAGCGUUAAUCGGAAUUACUGGGCGUAAAGCGCACGCAGGCGGUUUGUUAAGUCAGAUGUGAAAUCCCCGGGCUCAACCUGGGAACUGCAUCUGAUACUGGCAAGCUUGAGUCUCGUAGAGGGGGGUAGAAUUCCAUGUG